AUUGAACGCUGGCGGCAGGCCUAACACAUGCAAGUCGAGCGGGGUUUUCGGACCUAGCGGCGGACGGGUGAGUAAUGCGUAGGAAGCUGCCCGAUAGAGGGGGAUACCAGUUGGAAACGACUGUUAAUACCGCAUAAUGUCUACGGACCAAAGUGUGGACCUUCGGGCCACAUGCUAUCGGAUGCGCCUACGUGGGAUUAGCUAGUUGGUGAGGUAAUGGCUCACCAAGGCGACGAUCUCUAGCUGGUUUGAGAGGAUGAUCAGCCACACUGGAACUGAGACACGGUCCAGACUCCUACGGGAGGCAGCAGUGGGGAAUAUUGGACAAUGGGCGCAAGCCUGGUCCAGCCAUGCCGCGUGUGUGAAGAAGGCCUUCGGGUUGUAAAGCACUUUCAGCGAGGAGGAAGGGUUGGUAGUUAAUAGCUGCCAAUUUUGACGUUACUCGCAGAAGAAGCACCGGCUAACUCUGUGCCAGCCGCCGCCGUAAAAC
rnacentral:rRNA from 1 species